AUUUAAAUAGCUUAUUUAGAGCAUAAUUUUGAAGAGAUUAAGGUAGUUUUAAACUUUUAAAUA
rnacentral:tRNA from 1 species